rnacentral:rRNA from 1 species
UACGGAGGGGGCUAGCGUUGCUCGGAAUUACUGGGCGUAAAGGGCGCGUAGGCGGACAGUUUAGUCAGAGGUGAAAGCCCAGGGCUCAACCCUGGAAUUGCCUUUGAUACUGGCUGUCUUGAGUACGGGAGAGGUGUGUGGAACUCCGAGUGUAGAGGUGAAAUUCGUAGAUAUUCGGAAGAACACCAGUGGCGAAGGCGACACACUGGCCCGUUACUGACGCUGAGGCGCGAAAGCGUGGGGAGCAAACAGG